AACGCGAAGAACCUUACCUGGGCUUGAACCGCACAGGACCAGCUUGAGAAAUCAGGCCUUCCCGCAAGGGACCUGUGUAGAGGUGCUGCAUGGCUGUCGUCAGCUCGUGCCGUGAGGUGUUGGGUUAAGUCCCGCAACGAGCGCAACCCUUACUCAUAGUUGCUACCCGCAAGGGAGAACUCUAUGAGGACUGCUCCGGAUAACGGAGAGGAAGGUGGGGAUGAGGUCAAGUCAGCAUGGCCUUUAUAUCCAGGGCUACACACGUGCUACAAUGGCGUAUACAAAGGGUUGCGAACCCGCGAGGGGGAGCCAAUCCCAAAAAGUACGCCCCAGUUCAGAUUGGAGUCUGCAACUCGACUCCAUGAAGCCGGAAUUGCUAGUAAUCGCGGAUCAGCACGCCGCGGUGAAUACGUUCCCGGGCCUUGUACACACCGACUGUAC
rnacentral:rRNA from 1 species